GGCAGUGCCUCUCCUCUCGGCCCGUCUGGCCUCGGGCCGCUUUCGCCGCACCCCUGGAGGAGGCGGCUGAAAGAUGAUACUUGAAUUACUUGAAUUUAAGCUUGCCGCUUUUACUUAUCAGUGUAUUCUCAUGUACGCUUGUAAAAGAAAUAUUUUCAGCCCAUUUCUUGUUUCCUGGUUACCUUGUUUGCCGGUUUUUUUCGUGUGUCAGUGUUACGGUCAUAAUUGUCCAAUGUGCUGAGGAAAGGAAGAUUCAGAUUAGCUAUUAGAAAACAUAUUUUCAUUAUUCGAGUGUUCAGGCAUUGCAAUGGGAUGCCCAGCGAGGUGGCCGAGACACCAUUCCUGGAGCUGAGGCAUCCAAACCUGGCAUUGUGUGAUGCAAUUUAACUUGCAGCCCCUGGUACAUGCGUUUAGAAAGUGCUUAUGACUACAGUUGCUUUUGCAGUCUCUUUUAGGACAGUCUAAUUUUAAAAUAUUUUUGGCAUACAUUUAAUACAAGAAAUCUCAGCAAGUUUCCUAGUAUCUUUUAAACAAUGUAGGUAACACAUAUUUCUUAGUUCCAGAUGCAGUUCCUAAACUUCAGGCAAUGCUUAAAUUGCUGAAGAAAUACUAAAAUGUGAGACAAACGGAAAGGAGAUGUAUAUGAUAGUGUGGGAACAAGAAGUUUACAAGGCUGCAGGAGGAGGCUGGACAAGUACAUGAAAGUACAAGUAACAAAAUUCAAGGAAGGUUCUUGUUGGCCAGAAUGUGCCUGCUUUCUGGGAUGCUGGGGACUGUGAAGGAUGCUCAGGGAAACUUCAAAUUUUGUAAUCCCAGAGUCAAACCUGGGCAGGAGGAGAGAGCAGAAAGUCACAAGCUGAAGUGGACAGAUUCUAACCUUGGCUUUGGUCAGUACUACAUUGCAAAGGAUGUGAGUUACUCAUGUCUUUGUACAGAAGAAAGAAAAGAGAGAGCAAUGAACACUAGAAGCUGUUUACAUGAAAUUUAG
rnacentral:lncRNA from 1 species